rnacentral:lncRNA from 1 species
CUCAAGAUAUUUUCAUGAUCAAGGAAAGCAUCAUUAGAGAGCACGCAAUUCUAAAGUCAGAUUGGACCUUAACUUUACGUCUUUACAAAUCACCAACUUUCGAGCAAGUCGCAACCUAUAAUAGCACGUAUUUCAUAGAGGGUGAUGGAGGAACACUCAAAAUUAAUUAGCCGUAGAAACUUUGACAAAGCAGCGUCUAUAAUAUCCGAUGACACCAUCAACCGCCGCACAACGUAGGUUGGAGUAGAGCAACCCAUCGACGACAGUAUACUAACCCUCC